rnacentral:lncRNA from 12 species
AUUUUCCUCUGUUUCCCUUCCUGCUUUUGUCCUGCUUGUUAACUGCGCUUCAACCAGGUGUCUCCCCACCAGCACCCUUUGUUUCCUGACUGGACUUUGAAAGGAGGCCACCCUCUUGCCCUUCUUCGGUGGAACAAAACAGACAAAAUAUGCAGAUUCUUAACUCAACACACCACGUUGAAUAGCAUGUGGAAAAUUGGCAUUUCCAGUGAAUAAAAAUUAACUGGCAAACAACAAAAGGAAAAACGGAGGAAUGCUGUUGGAUGCUGUUUGGCUCGUCUUGUCUUGUCAGAGAAGGAACACGUGUGAAUCAAAUGGUUGAAGAUGAAUUUUACCUACACGUCUGGCUCCUGUUCAGAUGUUUUAGAUUUCUUAGUCAACUUUAUUUGCUUGUGUUUCUUUAAAAAAUGGUGUUUGCUCAUGUUAAAACAGGGAACUAAGCUGUAUGUAGAAAAUAAUGAUUUACCUUCUGAAACUGCAAUACGCACAAAUGGAGCAAGAAGAAUACAGGUACAGUGCCUGGCUACCCUAGUUCCUCAGGUACAUUU